UACAGAGGGGGCAAGCGUUGUUCGGAAUUACUGGGCGUAAAGGGCGCGUAGGCGGCCUGCUAAGUCGAACGUGAAAUCCCUGGGCUCAACCCAGGAACUGCGUCCGAUACUGGUUGGCUUGAAUCCGGGAGAGGGACGUGGAAUUCCAGGUGUAGCGGUGAAAUGCGUAGAUAUCUGGAGGAACACCGGUGGCGAAGGCGGGUCUCUGGGCAGUUACUGACGCUGAGGAGCGAAAGCGUGGGGAGCGAACAGG
rnacentral:rRNA from 1 species